UCUAUUUAGUUGGCCACUAUUGGUUGAUUUGUUCAAUCAACACUAACCAUUGGGGACCAGAAUUUCUUAUCAACUAAGAAAUUCCAUUUGGUGUGAAGACAGUUCUUCACAGAAAUUCAUAUCUAAAAGUUUUCCAGUACAUAGCCCCUUUGGAAUUCCAUAUUGCAUUAAUAUGUUGGAAGGGUCCUAUUCUGCUGUAGCUUGUUGUUUAAGAAGAUGAUGGCCAGAGUCAUGAUGACUGAGGACAGGGAGGACAUUGAUUUCAUAGCCUACCUAAGGAGAUGGGAGCAGAGGCCAGAGGGUAAAGCACUGGUAUUUUAUUCGAUUCCCGCCUUAAAUGUACAAACGAAAUGGCAGUUACUUUUGUACAUGAUAUGAGAUCUGUGAAGAAAUUUCGUGAACAGAAGGCUUCUUCCUUCAUAUCAUGCUUCUUCUGGUAACUUCAUUUUUUGCUAACUUCCUCUGGAAGCUAAUGAAAAUGCAAUUGCUUUGGGUAUGGAAAAGGCAUUACUAUGUCAUUUCGUUGUGACUUCAUUCUUGUGCUUUGUUUAGAUAUUUGGAAAUAAGGGUUUUUUUUUUUGGGUAGAGCUUAUUUAAGCCACUAAUUUGAUAGAAAUUUUGUUUUUAUGAAGAAUUUUCUAUCAAAUGUGAUUAUAAAAAAAACUGUAUGCUACUGAUACAAUAUCUUGAUCAUGAUGGUUGGAAGAAUUAAAACAUGGCAUUUACUUACAAGCUGAUAAUAUGGAUAUAUAAUAUCUUGAUCAUGAUGGGCAAGGCUUACGUUUUGAUCACCAAUUAUGAACACAAUCUCUCAAAAAUCUCAAAUAUUGGUUACCUUUAUUUCCUUUUAUGCAUGUUACAGUCCAGUUGUAGUUUCUUUCUUUGUAUGGGUUUGGAUGGUUUCGAGUUUAUUAUAAUGUUGAUUAAUGUAAUUCCCUUUUACAUGUGCUGGAAAAGCUAAGUUUUUCCUUUUAAGAAAGGUUAAAAAUUCCCAUUUGAGAUUCAGCUUUAGAUGUGAGUUUGAUGGGAGCUUCAUCUACAAGUACACCCAAAAAGAACCAAAUUUACAUACAAAGAGAUUCUGAAAUCAAAUCUAAAACAUACUUUAUGCAUAUACACACAAAAUCUAAAGGAACCAAAUCUAUGAACUCGCACAAUACUUUUAAACUACCACUUUUCCCAAAAUCUUAAGCCAUUAUAAAAUGACAUAUUUAAUCAUUUAUGAUUUAACCAUUAUCCUAACACUCCCCCCAAUAAGUAAGACCCAAAACAUGAGAUUUUUAACAUUUUAAAUGAAAGGUAGCGUAAACACAGAAUUUGAACUCG